rnacentral:rRNA from 1 species
AACGAACGCUGGCGGCAUGCCUAACACAUGCAAGUCGAACGAGACCUUCGGGGCUCGGGACACGCGUGAGCAUAACGCGUGGAAACCUGCCCUUAGUUGGGGAAACACCGCCCAAAAGGGGCUCUAAUCCCAUAAAAUGUAAUGGGGCAAAAGUUUUAUCGCCUUGAUCUGGGCCCGCGUUGUAUUAGCUAGUUGGUAGGGUAGAAGCCUACCAACGCGACGAACUAUAGCUGGUCUGAGAGGAUGAUCAGCCACACUGGGACUGAGACACGGCCCAGACUCCUACGGGAGGCAGCAGUGGGGAAUAUUGGACAAUGGGCGAAAGCCUGAUCCAGCAAUGCCGCGUGAGUGAUGAAGGCCUUAGGGUUGUAAAGCUCUUUUACCCGGGAUGAUAAUGACAGUACCGGGAGAAUAAGCUCCGGCUAACUCCGUG